rnacentral:rRNA from 1 species
UACGUAGGGUGCGAGCGUUGUCCGGAAUUAUUGGGCGUAAAGAGCUUGUAGGCGGUUUGUCGCGUCUGCUGUGAAAAUCCGGGGCUCAACCCCGGACUUGCAGUGGGUACGGGCAGACUAGAGUGUGGUAGGGGAGACUGGAAUUCCUGGUGUAGCGGUGAAAUGCGCAGAUAUCAGGAGGAACACCGAUGGCGAAGGCAGGUCUCUGGGCCACUACUGACGUGAGAAGCGAAAGCAUGGGGAGCGAACAGG